rnacentral:lncRNA from 1 species
GGCCUUGCUCUUAUGUCAUCUGACUAAAGGUUUCAUAGACCAAAGAUAACCAUCCAACUUGUUGGAAUACUGAAACAAUUGCUGCCUGCUGUCCACACACCACAUAAAAUAUGUGGAUUUCGUAAAUUCUGCAAAAAAGGUUUGGAAGCUGAUCAAUCAAUACUGGAACUCCCUCUUCUCCAGAAGAGACAUCCUGGCCUCCAUGCAGAGGAAUGUGUGGAUGGACAUAUAUUUCAGGAAGACACUAAACCAGAAACUACUACAUUACACCCUCUUAGAAGACUUCUAAGAUUGUUGUCAUGCCUACCACAGACAUUCAGAUGAUGUGUAUUGUUGAUUGUGAUUUCAUGUUUGGACCUGAUGAAAGAGUUUGAAGUCUCCAGAGCAGCAAAGAGAGUGGGGAGUAGAACUCAUCAUCUUUAGGUCACUCAUCAUCG